UCGAGGUGGAGCAUUACAGAUUUUCACUGUUUCUGAAAACCGUUUUCAAGGAACAAUCCCUAAAAGCUUGAGAAAUUGCACAAGCUUAAUCCGAGUACGGCUUGAUGGAAACAACCUUACUGGAAAUAUUUCAAAAGCUUUCGGCAUUUAUCCUAACCUGACUUUCAUAGAUCUCAGCCGCAAUAAUUUUUACGGUGAAAUCUCGUCUAACUUUGGGGAAUGCCCAAAAUUAGGCGCUCUCAACAUUUCGAGGAAUAACAUUACUGGAGGUAUACCGUGUGAGAUUGGAAACUGGUCUCAACUACAAGCACUCGAUCUUUCAUUGAAUCAUAUAGUUGGGGAGAUUCCAAAGGAACUUGGGAAGUUAAAUUCGCUAACCAAGCUCAUUUUGAGAGGGAAUCAACUUACAGGACGCCUGCCUACAGAAAUCGGCGCAUUCAAUGAACUUGAAUACCUCGACUUAUCUGCAAAUAGAUUCAACAAUUCAGUCCCAGAAAGUCUCGGCCACUUGCUGAAAUUGCACUACUUGGAUUUAAGCAACAACCAGUUUGUCCAAGAAUUGCCAAAGGAAUUGGAGAAGCUAGUUCAACUUUCAGAAUUAGAUGCAAGUCAUAACCUCUUUGGAGGAGAGAUACCAUUUCAAAUAUGCAGUUUGAAAAGCUUGGAAAAGUUGAAUCUCUCCCACAAUAAUCUCUCUGGUUCGAUUCCAAAUUGCUUUGAGGGAAUGCACGGUCUAUCAGUCAUUGACAUUUCUGAUAAUCAAUUGCAAGGCCCAGUUCCAAAUAGCACAGCAUUUCGGAAUGCCCCAGUGGAAGCGUUAGAGGGGAAUAAGGAAUUGUGUGGAAGUGUGAAAGGAAUGCAACCAUGCAAAGUUUUCUCGUCACACAAGCAAAAUUCUGGAGCCAAGUGGUUUGCAAUAGUGUUCCCUGUUUUAGGAGCAUUAUUUGUUUCAAUGGCGUUGAUAGCAAUUUUCAUUCUUCAAAAGCGGAAGUCAGACUCAGGAGAUCGACAGAGUAGCAACCAGAACCCUCAGGGAUUGCUUUCUAUAUUCAAGUUUGAAGGCAAACUUGUGUACGAUGAAAUUGUUAGAGCAACAAAUGAUUUUGCAGAUUUUCACUGUUUCUGAAAACCGUUUUCAAGGAACAAUCCCUAAAAGCUUGAGAAAUUGCACAAGCUUAAUCCGAGUACGGCUUGAUGGAAACAACCUUACUGGAAAUAUUUCAAAAGCUUUCGGCAUUUAUCCUAACCUGACUUUCAUAGAUCUCAGCCGCAAUAAUUUUUACGGUGAAAUCUCGUCUAACUUUGGGGAAUGCCCAAAAUUAGGCGCUCUCAACAUUUCGAGGAAUAACAUUACUGGAGGUAUACCGUGUG
rnacentral:lncRNA from 1 species